ensembl:lncRNA LINC00943 long intergenic non-protein coding RNA 943
AUUAUGACCAGUCUUGGAACUAGGAUUGGGGUGGGGUUCAUCCCACCCAGACCACAGAGACUGAAAAUAAGAAAGGGGUGAGGCCUAAGGGACAAUCAGGAUGUUUUUCAGAGAGAAGUGUGGAUGCUGGACAGGAAGAACCACAGAUACCAGAUACGGGACAUACUUUAUUCAGCUGGGUGCUGAAAAAGAAUCUUGGAAAUUAGGAAACUGAAUGAGGCCUCAUUUCACACUCAGAAUGUGGGUUGCAAUAGUCACUUCCUCUGCUGCUGGGAAAGAAAGAAUUAUACUACCUUUUGAAUUUUGGAUUAAGGAGAGAGGUGUUGGCUUGUCAAACUACCAUGUAUUCCUCAAGACAUAUUUUUGUGGCUUUAUAAAAUUCAAUAUAUAUGUCUAAAUUCAAAAAUAUUUUGUUGCAAUCUGGCCCUUGGACAAACUGAGGCCCUAGCAACUGAUGUUUAUGGCUUUCCGUAGAACCUUUCAGAUAAAAUUUACACAGCAUUUUACUGCAGCUAUUUCACACAAAGCAGAGGAUUUUGCCACAAAACUGAAAGAAAAAAGAAACUGCAUUCUUAAAUUUUUCAUAAAUCAAAAGGUAUAAAAAUAUCUACCUAAACGAUAAAGGAGAUGAGAAACCCCACCCAUGAUGGGAAGAAAGCCUAUUUCAGUUUUGCCUUUACUUCAAGUUCUUUUUUCCAUAUCUGGAAUGCAAUCAGAAUUUUAAUCUUGCCUUGGGUUCCUCCUGGAUUUGGGGAGAAGACAAAACCUGAAAAUCUCUAAUCUGCAUGUGUUCAGCUGCGUAUCUUCUGGAUACGGAAGGAUCACACUGCACAGAGUGCUGGACUUGCAGGAGCCCCGCUUCUCAACCUCCAUCGCUUUAUGAAUGAAUUCACCAGAAAGAAAAGGAAGAAUCAACACUUUCAGAGAUGGAGCCUGUUGAGCCACAGUACCAACUAGUCAAUGCUGAAUCGACUUCUCCCUUUCUACAUUGCCUGAGAGAAGUCAUUGGGGAAUACUCUAGAGUCAAGGGAUUGGAUUGUGGAUUGCAUUGGUGGUUUUCCUCAGUUUCCUCAUCUUCUCCACAAGUUUCUACAUAUCGAAUGCAGAGCAGCCCUUCUUCAAAGGACCUCCUACGGAAGCUGCUAAGGAACUCAGUCUGUAGCUCUGCGUGGAGCCAUGUGUAAACACUGAACUGAGACCUGCCACCUCCUACUACCUAAGGGCCCAUUUUCAUCUGAUAUCAUCCCCCAGAAACAAACUCAUGAUGACUUCCAUGUUUUUUUUAGAUUAGAUACAUGGAGAAUUUUCCUUUCCCUUAGAAUUAAAAUCCUGCAUUCUAAUUUUCAGUAAGCUUUUUUAUUUCUGAAUAAUUUUAAAUUUAAAGAGAAGUUGCAAAGAUAGUAUAGAAUGUUCCCUUAUACCUGUUUUUAUUUAGAGUGAUGUUCCCAGGAGAAAUGAUAAUGCAGCAAUGGACAAGAACAGGAACAAGAGACAGUCUUACCAUCUUCUUACAAUUUAUAGAUGGGACAGUGGAAAGAGAAGCCACAUCGGGGUUGGGCAUGCAGAGACCUGGUCCUAAAUCUGUGUGACUUUUGCGAAAUCCUUUUGCCUCACAGAGCUCUAGGUUCUUAUCUGUCAAACAGGAACCAGACCAUCAGAUCCGUAGAGAUCCAACCAAUGAAGGAGACUUCGAAAACUUCACAUUGCCGUGUCAAUGUGAGGUUGCUGGAUGGUUAUGACAAGAAAUCACAUUAAAUUCACUGGGGUAACAUUGUUCAUGAAACGGGAUAAUGUGUUUCAGCGAUGAACCACCCAUGGCCUUACUACAGACAUAUUUCCACUUUGAAAAUGUGUGUGAGUGUACAUGUCUGUGUGUGAGGCAGAGAUUAGAAAGUGUAAAUGUGUGCGUUUUCAUUUUACACAUCUUACAUUUUCCUUUAAUUUGUUUGAAAGCCUGUUUUGUUUGUGGCUUCCAUUCCUGGAAGUCCCAUGAGUUGUUAGUGGUGAAGAUGGAACAGAUGUGUCCAACCCGGGGGACUCCUGCCCUCAGGGACUGAGCAGCUGCAAACCUCUCUCUCAUCUGAUUCCACUGUUUCUUCCACAUGUACACAUCAUGAGAAAUAUUGUUCAAUCAAUAUCUUCCCUUAAAUCAACUCAUAUGCUUAUUUACAUGAAUUUACCUAAAACAGAAACUUGAUAUCACUUCUGUAAAUGAAAAAAUUAAACUUUCUGGCUUUAAAUAAAGCAUAACAAUAAUAAUCAUGUCAAAA